rnacentral:tRNA from 1 species
GAGGGUAUAGCUCAGUGGUAAAGUACAUGGUGCUUAAUAUGCAUGAGGUCCUGAGAUCAAUCCCCAGUACCUCUA